GACAGAGGAUGCAAGCGUUAUCCGGAAUGAUUGGGCGUAAAGCGUCUGUAGGUGGCUUUUCAAGUCCGCCGUCAAAUCCCAGGGCUCAACCCUGGACAGGCGGUGGAAACUACCAAGCUGGAGUACGGUAGGGGCAGAGGGAAUUUCCGGUGGAGCGGUGAAAUGCGCAGAUAUCAGGAAGAACACCUAUGGCGAAGGCAGCUCUCUGGGACGGUACUGACGCUGAGACGCGAAAGCGUGGGGAGCGAACAGG
rnacentral:rRNA from 1 species